rnacentral:rRNA from 1 species
GGAAUAUUGGGCAAUGGGGGAAACCCUGACCCAGCAAUGCCGCGUGAAUGAAGAAGGCCUUCGGGUUGUAAAGUUCUGUGACAGAGGACGAAGAAAUGACGGUACUCUGAGAGGAAGCUCCGGCAAACUACGUGCCAGCAGCCGCGGUAAUACGUAGGGAGCGAGCGUUGUCCGGAAUUACUGGGCGUAAAGGGCGCGUAGGCGGGUUGGUAAGUUGUAUGUGAAAUCCCCGGGCUCAACCCGGGACGUGCAUACAAAACUGCCGAUCUUGAGUGCGGUAGAGGGAAGUGGAAUUCCUAGUGUAGCGGUAAAAUGCAUAGAUAUUAGGAGGAACACCGGUGGCGAAGGCGACUUCCUGGGCCGUAACUGACGCUGAGGCGCGAAAGCGUGGGGAGCAAACA